UGGGGAAUAUUGCACAAUGGGCGCAAGCCUGAUGCAGCCAUGCCGCGUGUAUGAAGAAGGCCUUCGGGGUGUAAAGUACUUUCAGUCGGGAGGAAGGUGUCAAGGUUAAUAACCUUGGCAAUUGACGUUACCGACAGAAGAAGCACCGGCUAACUCCGUGCCAGCAGCUGCGGUAAUACGGAGGGUGCAAGCGUUAAUCGGCAUUACUGGGCGUAAAGCGCACGCAGGCGGUUGAUUGAGUCAGAUGUGAAAUCCCCGGGCUUAACCCGGGAAUUGCAUCUGAUACUGGUCAGCUAGAGUCUUGUAGAGGGGGGUAGAAUUCCAUGUGUAGCGGUGAAAUGCGUAGAGAUGUGGAGGAAUACCGGUGGCGAAGGCGGCCCCCUGGACAAAGACUGACGCUCAGGUGCGAAAGCGUGGGGAGCAAACAGG
rnacentral:rRNA from 1 species